GAUGAAGAACGUAGCGAAAUGCGAUACUUGGUGUGAAUUGCAGAAUCCCGUGAACCAUCGAGUCUUUGAACGCAAGUUGCGCCCGAAGCCACUAGGCCGAGGGCACGCCUGCCUGGGCGUCACACGCCGUUGCCCCCCCAUCUACUCCUUCGGGAUUGCGGGGGGGCGGAUGAUGGCCUCCCGUGCGCCUAGCCGCGCGGUUGACAUAAAUACCAAGUCCUCGGCGACGCACGCCACGACAAUCGGUGGUUGCGAAACCUCGGUUGCCCGUCGUGUGCGUUCGUCGCGCAUCGAGGGCUCGAAAAAAUGCUCGGCUCCGGCUGGGCUUUCAACGCGACCCCAGGUCAGGCGGGGUUACCCGCUGAAUUUAAGCAUAUCAAUAAGCGGAGGA
rnacentral:misc_RNA from 1 species